rnacentral:rRNA from 1 species
AGUGAACGCUGGCGGUAGGCCUAACACAUGCAAGUCGAACGGCAGCACAGUAAGAGCUUGCUCUUACGGGUGGCGAGUGGCGGACGGGUGAGGAAUACAUCGGAAUCUACUUUUUCGUGGGGGAUAACGUAGGGAAGCUUACGCUAAUACCGCAUACGACCUACGGGUGAAAGCAGGGGAUCUUCGGACCUUGCGCGAUUGAAUGAGCCGAUGUCGGAUUAGCUGGUUGGCGGGGUAAAGGCCCACCAAGGCGACGAUCCGUAGCUGGUCUGAGAGGAUGAUCAGCCACACUGGAACUGAGACACGGUCCAGACUCCUACGGGAGGCAGCAGUGGGGAAUAUUGGACAAUGGGCGCAAGCCUGAUCCAGCCAUACCGCGUGGGUGAAGAAGGCCUUCGGGUUGUAAAGCCCUUUUGUUGGGAAAGAAAAGCAGCAGGUUAAUACCCCGCUGUUCUGACGGUACCCAAAGAAUAAGCACCGGCUAACUUCGUG